rnacentral:rRNA from 1 species
UGGGGAAUAUUGGACAAUGGGCGAAAGCCUGAUCCAGCAAUGCCGCGUGAGUGAUGAAGGCCUUAGGGUUGUAAAGCUCUUUUACCCGGGAUGAUAAUGACAGUACCGGGAGAAUAAGCUCCGGCUAACUCCGUGCCAGCAGCCGCGGUAAUACGGAGGGAGCUAGCGUUGUUCGGAAAUACUGGGCGUAAAGCGAACGUAGGCGGCUUAGCAAGUCAGGGGUGAAAUCCCGGAGCUCAACUCCGGAACUGCCUUUGAAACUGCUUCGCUUGAAUCCUGGAGAGGCGAGUGGAAUUCCGAGUGUAGAGGUGAAAUUCGUAGAUAUUCGGAAGAACACCAGUGGCGAAGGCGACUCGCUGGACAGGUAUUGACGCUGAGGUUCGAAAGCGUGGGGAGCAAACAGG